rnacentral:misc_RNA from 1 species
GAUGAAGAACGUAGCAAAAUGCGAUACGUAAUGUGAAUUGCAAAUUCAGUGAAUCAUCGAGUCUUUGAACGCACAUUGCGCCCCCUGGUAUUCCGGGGGGCAUGCCUGUCCGAGCGUCAUUGCUGCCCUCAAGCACGGCUUGUGUGUUGGGCCCCGUCCUCCGAUCCCGGGGGACGGGCCCGAAAGGCAGCGGCGGCACCGCGUCCGGUCCUCGAGCGUAUGGGGCUUUGUCACCCGCUCUGUAGGCCCGGCCGGCGCUUGCCGAUCAACCCAAAUUUUUUAUCCAGGUUGACCUCGGAUCAGGUAGGGAUAUCCGCUGAACUUAAGCAUAUCAAUAAGCGGAGGA